UCCUAUUAAAGCGAGACGGGUUCGCUAUGAACCCCGGCCUGAAAACCACUUCGGUGGCGGGAUGGACGGGUGGAAUGCGGAAAACCGGGCGUGGAGAAGGCACAGUUCACCUGAGUGCCCGGUGGCGUUCGCGCGCCGCCGCAAAUGCGAAAUGGCUCUCAGGAAGCGAGGGGCGAAAGCCGGGCGAGAGCCCAGCCAAGAACCGCUCCGAGCUGACUCAUGAACGUGAUAGAGACACUUCAGGCAACCCUUCGGGGAAGCUUGGCAGACCGUCUCAUUCGCCGGACUGGUCCGGUUGCGGUUCCUUCGGGAAUCGGGACUGAGUCAGAAGCUCAAGCCUGUUUCGAGCUUGAGUGGAAAAGUAGUUGCCCAGAGGGUAUUGGUUGCCUACUACAAAAGUUGGCACGGCAGGAAUCCAAAAUUGGCCGGCAACGGUCAGCCAGACGAAAUCCUCCGAAAGGAGGGACAAAGCUGGGGUUCCCGUCGGGAUAGCCACGAGCCCAAGACAACGGCCGUGAAAACUAUCCGGCAAGGUGGCGAUGCAAAAACUGCAGCGCUGUCAUGUGAACGAAAUGGCAACCUGAGGGGUAAGAGGCGAGACCCGUGGCACGGGCCAACGCGCCGCCAAAAGCGGUGGCCGACCUUGUGUCCGAUGGCUUGGAUGUGAUGGUUCACUUCCGCGUCCAAGCCUGGUCCGCAGGUCAGUGGCCGCAAUCACUGGCUGAAGCGGGCAGAUAAACCUCACCCAAUAAUUCAAGCGCCGUAAGGCCUUGGACGGCCCUGCUAUGAGGCCGACAACUCCGCGAGUCACGGGGAAUGGCGUCGGGGAGCAAUCAACCUGCUUGCAGGUGCCUAAUGGUUGUAUCUGGUAAAGAGCGUGUGGCGAGCGCC
rnacentral:ncRNA from 1 species